AAAAGAGGAGUGGCGAACGGGUGAGUAACACGUGGGUAACCUGCCCAUCAGAAGGGGAUAACACUUGGAAACAGGUGCUAAUACCGUAUAACAAUCGAAACCGCAUGGUUUUGAUUUGAAAGGCGCUUUCGGGUGUCGCUGAUGGAUGGACCCGCGGUGCAUUAGCUAGUUGGUGAGGUAACGGCUCACCAAGGCCACGAUGCAUAGCCGACCUGAGAGGGUGAUCGGCCACAUUGGGACUGAGACACGGCCCAAACUCCUACGGGAGGCAGCAGUAGGGAAUCUUCGGCAAUGGACGAAAGUCUGACCGAGCAACGCCGCGUGAGUGAAGAAGGUUUUCGGAUCGUAAAACUCUGUUGUUAGAGAAGAACAAGGAUGAGAGUAACUGUUCAUCCCUUGACGGUAUCUAACCAGAAAGCCACGGCUAACUACGUGCCAGCAGCCGCGGUAAUACGUAGGUGGCAAGCGUUGUCCGGAUUUAUUGGGCGUAAAGCGAGCGCAGGCGGUUUCUUAAGUCUGAUGUGAAAGCCCCCGGCUCAACCGGGGAGGGUCAUUGGAAACUGGGAGACUUGAGUGCAGAAGAGGAGAGUGGAAUUCCAUGUGUAGCGGUGAAAUGCGUAGAUAUAUGGAGGAACACCAGUGGCGAAGGCGGCUCUCUGGUCUGUA
rnacentral:rRNA from 1 species